rnacentral:rRNA from 1 species
UGCAGAAUCCCGUGAACCAUCGAGUCUUUGAACGCAAGUUGCGCCCGAAGCCAUUAGGCCGAGGGCACGCCUGCCUGGGUGUCGCAC